rnacentral:lncRNA from 1 species
GAAAGCGUCGGCCAGGCCAGGCGGCCAGGCCAGGCGGAGGAGCGCCGGAGCCGGCGGUAUCCAAGCGAGUGGGAAAACUGGAGCAGCGGAGCCGCGGCAUGGACAGCCCCGUGGUACAGAAGACCGCCCCACACCCUCUCAUAAACUUUAUUACUCCCUACCCAUUGGUCCCUCUCGCCCUCUUCCCUCUGUUCCCUAUAUCUCCAGGGAAAUGCACCUAGCUUUCAGUCUGGCUCCGCUUGAUGGAAAACUCAGAGCUCGAGGAGGCGACCCUGACUCGACCCGGCAGAAAAGAGGAGACGGAAAACUCCCUCCCUAGAAUCUGGAAUGAACUCCUUGUGUCUGCGGUUCUUCCAGCCUCUCUGGCUUUGGCAGGACACUAGAUUCUGGCUUACCCUUCCCCGGCUCUCGGCUCUCGUCCCUGGCCAGCCACUGUGACCACUGCUUUGCCAGACCACCAGUGUGUCAGAUUCGUUUCCGUUCCGGAAGAUUGGUAUUUGUAUGGUUAUUGUUUUGAAAAAAAGAAAACGAAUUAAAUUAAGGGGAACCAAGGAGAGGGAUAUUUGUAGCUGAGGCCAUUGCUUCAGUGUGGAGCCCUGGUUGUGCCCUUCAGAGCCUCGGGCCGAGAGGGAGUGUGGGGGCUGUGGGGCCCCCGGGAAUUAGCGCGUGGAGUGAACGUCGGGGCAAGAGUUGGGGUGGAUUAGCGGGUUCAAAAGCAGGUCAGGGGGAGCUAAGCGUGGCGACCAAGUCCGUGCUAGGUCAAGGUCCCUGGCAAAGGCUGGCUCGAGCGAUCUGCAGGAAGCCGUACCAGUCUGCAGCUGCCCAGCCAGGGACCAGAGAAAUGCAACAGGAACCCAUGCUUGUCUGCAAUAAUUUACAGGACCCCGUUCGAGCUCCCUGGUUGAGGUGUGCUCACCUUGAAAGACAGGGUUUCUCUUUUACAUUUUAACCUUUUCUUUCUUUUCUUCUUUAUGUUUGAGACAGGACCUCACUCCGUAGCCCAGGUUGGCCUCCAGCUCAGGGCCAUCCUCCUGUGGAACCCCUGAGAUCACAGGCGUGUCUCACCAAGUCCCACCUCUUUGUUUUUAUACUCCCUCCUUUCUGACCAGAUAAAUACAUCGACCCACGCAGGUAGAAUUUUCUUCUCAAGAGUCUCUUUCUCCUCCUGACAUCGGGGGCCAUGUGAGUCAAAUGGGGGUUGGGGAUUUCUGAGACACAAUAAAAGAAUCGCAUCCUCCUCUUCCCGCUCGAGUACCUGCGAUAGGGAGGGAGAGCUGGGAGUAGCUGAGUCGCUCUUUCCUUUGCGAAAGGGAGAGAGGUGACUCUGAGCCCCGAACGUUUGUAGGGCCCUGGAUAGUCUUCCCUUUUCUCCAAAAGACUCGUGAGUUUUAACAGGGAACAAACUUGGAGACGCGGUGGAUUUCGAAAUCCCGGUCUUGUUGGUGGCCUAAGAACAAUUUACAAAGCAGCCGGGGUGGGGAUGAAUCCUCGAGGUCUACCGAGGGUGGUGGCCCCUCCCGAGUCGCUUGGGACCUGGCGUGGGGCUUCUUUUCCUCCCGCGCUGUGCAGGCCCAGGGAGUGGGGUACGCGGAUGGACUUGGUUUUGUUGAAAUCCGGUGAAUCUGGACUCGGGUCGGGCUAGCUUCACGGAGUAAGCCUAUCCGAUCCCUGCAGGGGAGAAGUUUCCUACUUCCAGCUCUGGGGAAAGUACGGAAGGUGGCAAGGAGCUGUGGAAAGCGGAGGUGGCUUGGGAGAGGCCUGGGCUGUGGAGUCCCCGGGCGGCUCCCGCGACUUCUCUGGAAUGCUUCCGAGCUGCAGGCCCUGGAUGCUGGCGUGCAGGGUGUAGAGCGGCAGACCCGGAUGGACCGGCUGGUGCGGUGCUCGGGUCCGAGUGGAGUAGGUAGAAGCUUGGCUUCGAGACACAAUGCAAAUAAGCUGCUCGGUUCCCAGUCCCACGGAGCCUGACAUCUUUCCACUGGAAAAACGCCCGGAGCUGAAGGCACUGUCUCUCCUUCUUUAGGCGGGCGUUCUCGCUUCGCGGCUUGCAACCGGCCUCACAGUUCAGGCUUCAGCGGCAGAAAUAAUGGGACUGACGGCAAGAAAGUAUCCCAACGCUUUCCCGCUCUUCUGGAGCUGCCUCCACCCCAUCCCCACCGCCGCAUCCUUCUUUUUGAAUAAAUUUACCUUGAAAGUACAGUUUUGUAUGUAGCCUUUUCUGGUUUCCAUGUCGCUCAGGCUGGCCCCCAUACUAUAUAGCUUUAAAAUGCUGACCCUCCAGUUUCCACCUCCUAAGUGCUAGGAUUACAGCCUGUAGGGUCCAUUAAUGCAUUCCACAUACUCCUGAGUGUGGAGCCAUCUGGUGGGGCAUGGCCAUCUUACAAGGGAGAACACUCUUAAAGAAAGCUGACUCUUCUCCACUAGCGACUGUCAACUAUGAAUACAUCCUCAGCUAGCGGUGAGGGCUGUGAGCCUCUCCUGGGUCCAUGCUGGAAUGCUGGCUCUCCUGGGUCCAUGCUGGAAUGCUGGCUCUCCUGGGUCCAUGCUGGAAUGCUGGCUCUCCUGGGUCCAUGCUGGAAUGCUGGCUCUCCUGGGUCCAUGCUGGAAUGCUGGCUCUCCUGGGUCCAUGCUGGAAUGCUGGCUGGCUGGUCUUGUGCUGGGCAGAGCUGCUGUGAGUUUGAGUUCCAGAGGAUAGAGGAUACCAGUCUAUCACGGAGCUGAAACAGCAGACACAGCAGCAGGAACUGGACGCUGAGAACGGAUAUCCUUUACCAUAAGCACAGAGCAGAAAGAGCCAGCUGCAGGCGGCAGCGGAGAAAUAACCUAUCAGAUGGUGCUGAAACCCGGGAGAAGUUAAGUCCCCAGCGCGAUGGUUUUGGUCUUUCCUGGCCACGUGGGAACCACUUCUGUCCCUCUCUCUUCUCUGCUGGAUACAUCAUUUCUUCGGACUCACGAGUACCCAUCCCUAGAUAUCCUGACUAUCCAGGUCCAGGACCCUCUGAGCUCUUUGCUGAGUUGCGGCCCCGACAGAGUUAGCCCCAUCCGAACAAAGACCAGGCCUUUGUUUUGGGGGAACCCCUGAUAUAGAGACUUCUUAUCUGAGGUUACCGCCCCCACAUAAACCGUUGGGUCGAUCUCAGACUAUACAUUGGGAUGACAAUUCAACAGUAUUGAGAUCUCUGGCAAACGUUGGGAAGAUGGGUGUCACAGGAUCUAAAACAAAAAUGUAUUCCUACGUCCAGUUUUUGGGAAGCUGCGCUCUCCUAAUCUCCCUUCACUGCAUUGAGCACAGGGCUCCAGGAGCCGCCUAGCCACUCCCACCUCUCAUCCCCAUCUCCUUCCCGUCCUCCUGUGGCUCCGUUGUCAGUGGCGGCAGCAGCAGCACCAGCGGUUGUGAUGACUAAGGGUGGCGAGGCACCCAUGUUCCCAGAAGUAAUUCCAAAUAAACUCCUUUGUUCACCAAG